GUGGGGAAUCUUGCGCAAUGGGCGAAAGCCUGACGCAGCCAUGCCGCGUGGAUGAUGAAGGUCUUAGGAUUGUAAAAUCCUUUCACCGGUGAAGAUAAUGACUGUAGCCGGAGAAGAAGCCCCGGCUAACUUCGUGCCAGCAGCCGCGGUAAUACGAAGGGGGCUAGCGUUGCUCGGAUUUACUGGGCGGAAAGGGCGCGUAGGCGGACAUUUAAGUCAGGGGUGAAAUCCCGGGGCUCAACCUCGGAACUGCCUUUGAUACUGGGUGUCUUGAGUAUGAGAGAGGUGUGUGGAACUCCGAGUGUAGAGGUGAAAUUCGUAGAUAUUCGGAAGAACACCAGUGGCGAAGGCGACACACUGGCUCAUUACUGACGCUGAGGCGCGAAAGCGUGGGGAGCAAACAGGAUUAGAAACCCCAGUAGUCC
rnacentral:rRNA from 1 species